UACGUAGGGGGCAAGCGUUGUCCGGAAUCAUUGGGCGUAAAGCGCGUGUAGGCGGCCAGAAAAGUCCGCUGUGAAAACUCGAGGCUCAACUUCGAGCUGUCGGUGGAAACUUUCUGGCUAGAGUCCGGAAGAGGAGAAUGGAAUUCCUGGUGUAGCGGUGAAAUGCGCAGAUAUCAGGAAGAACACCCGUGGCGAAGGCGGUUCUCUGGGACGGUACUGACGCUGAGACGCGAAAGCGUGGGGAGCGAAC
rnacentral:rRNA from 1 species